rnacentral:rRNA from 1 species
CCUACGGGUGGCAGCAGUGAGGAAUAUUGGUCAAUGGCCGGAAGGCUGAACCAGCCAUGCCGCGUGAAGGUCAGUGCCCUAUGGGCGUUAAACUUCUUUUGUGCGGGAGCAAUAAUGGUCACGUGUGGCCAGACGAGAGUACCGUACGAAUAAGCAUCGGCUAACUCCGUGCCAGCAGCCGCGGUAAUACGGGGGAUGCAAGCGUUUUACGGAUUUAUUGGGUUUUAAGGGUGCGUGGGGUGGGAGGUAAGGCAGGGGUGAAAUGCCCCCGCUCAACGGGGUGAAGGGCCAUUGAUACUGCCUGGCUGGAAUGCGGAUGCCGUAGGAGGAAUGUGUGGUGUAGCGGUGAAAUGCAUAGAUAUCACACAGAACACCGAUUGCGAAGGCAUCUCACGAAUCCGCGAUUGACGCUGAUGCACGAAAGCGUGGGUAUCAAACAGGAUUAGAUACCCGAGUAGUC